CGUUGGCCCUACGCUAUUGCAAGGCCACACUUCCCGACAGAGAAAUUCGACAAAACGUGUACGCCAUCGGUUUAUACAGCGAAUCUGCUGCGACGCUUUAAAAGCGGGAGGGCAAGAUUUUCGGAGGCUCUCAGUUAAAGCCAAUUUUCUCGCUCGCAAGUCACACAAGGAGGAAAACGUCAAAAUUUUAUGGACACCAAAGUACCUGACAAGGGGGUUUCUCAGGAGCUGACUCGUGAGUCGCUUAUUGCUAUCUCACAGUGCAUGCCGGAUACAGUUCUUGCUUCGAAGCACCCAUCUGAAUCAAACGGCACAAAUGCAGUUGAGUUGAAAGAGAGUGACGCAGCUGAGAAGUAUAGGUCUAAGCUGAUCUCUAUUUCCUACACAGAUACCGAAAACUCUCCAGCUGCAUUGGGGAACCUUGAGGUUUAGUUGGGAUUAUGGUUCUCUUUUGAUGGGAACUACUUGUAAUAUUAAACUUGUAUGGUUUGUUGUUUUCUAGAACUACUUGUGUCAAGUGGAUGGUGCUACCAUCAAUGUCUGGUUGAUGCUCUGUAUACUUCUUCUGAUGUCAACAUAAACAGGGAAAUAAAAGUUUGUUAAUCUAAUAGAGUGAUGGAUGUUGUGUUUA